GCAAGAUGGUGCCGUCCGCCUUGUUGCGCCCUUUGUCCAAGCUGGUGGCCUCGGCCAGGCUCCCCAGCAGCUUUUCAGCGCGGUCAAAGUUCUACAUUCGGGAAUCGCCACUUGGCAGACCUGACUGGCUGAAGGUUGGACUGACCUUGGGCACCUCCGUCUUCUUGUGGAUCUAUCUCAUCCAACAGCAUAAUGAAGAUGUUUUAGAGUAUAAAAGAAGAAAUGGGUUGGAAUAAACUUUUGAAAUACCGAUACAGUAGUGUUUAUAGCAGUUCCUCUGGAUUCACCAAUCUGUUGAGCUGUAAACGUGAGAGAAAGAGUUACAUGUGGAUAUAUGUCAAGUCAGCAUUUUGUGUUUCACAUAAUUAAAUUAAAAAAUACUUCUGUAUU